rnacentral:tRNA from 2 species
UCGAAAUCGGUAGACGCUACGGACUUAAAAUCCGUUGGCUUUUAGACCGUGAGGGUUCAAGUCCCUCUACCCCCA